rnacentral:rRNA from 1 species
GUAGUCCACGCCCUAAACGAUGCACGCUAGACGGAUGCGGCUCUGACGUCGUAUCGGUCGUAGAGAAAUUGAUAAGCGUGCCGCCUGGGAAGUACGGUCGCAAGGCUAAAACUCAAAGAAAUUGACGGGGGCUCACACAAGCGGUGGAGCAUGUUGCUUAAUUCGAAGCAACGCGAAGAACCUUACCUGGGUUUGACAUGCACGGAUUAACCGGUGGAAACAUCGGCGAGGCCCGCAAGGGUACAACGUGCACAGGUGCUGCAUGGCUGUCGUCAGCUCGUGCUGUGAAGUGUCGGGUUAAGUCCUCUAACGAGCGCAACCCCUGUCGCUAGUUGCCAGCGAGUCAUGUCGGGGACUCUAGCGAGACUGCCGUUGUAAGACGGA